AACUAAUGAGUAAGGAAAACAAAGCGAGCGGUGGGAGCUGCUCGCCGCGCUAACUUGUGUUGCGCAAGAAUUUAUGGAGGGGUUAUAGGCUGACCGAGCGUUGACGCUGCUUACUUUGCAGAACUCGCUUGAGUGGGCCUCCCAUAAACCCAAAACCCCCACUAAAUCUUCAGAUUUUUAAAAUUUUUGUUUCUCUCCUUCCUUUCAACGUAAGCAAUGCUACCAUCAUCGAAGGCUCUGGAGCUUGAAUUUUCUGAAAUUGACUCUAAUUUUCUGCAAUUCUGUGCUUCUCAUGGCAUACUUUCAGUGGAAGAUUUCCUUGUUCAUGACCUCAAUGUACUAGUUGCUUUUGCAGAGCAGCAUGGCACUUCUAAGAAAUUGAAACAAGGAAUUACAAGAAUCCUCUCUAUCAUAGACAAUCAUCAUCAACCAUGGUUAAAUGGUAUGAAGUUGUUGGAAGAUGCUCUACAGAAUAAGCAUGUCUUGUCAACUGGAUGUGAAGGGGUUGAUCAUAUUCUUCAAGGUGGAUUACGUGAAGGGCAGUUAACAGAACUAGUGGGGCCGUCAUCUUGUGGUAAAACACAAAUUUGUCUUCAAGCUGCAUCUAAUGUUGCGGACAAGUACAUGGGUGCUGUCAUAUUCUUAGAUACGUGUAACUCCUUUUCACCCAGACGCAUUGCAUGCUUUCUCACUAAAAGGAUGAGCUCUUCUUCCAAUGAGGAAAAACAAAGAAUUCUUGAAAGAGUGAUGAGCAACAUAUUUAGUUAUUCAGUGUUUGACAUUUUUUCCCUGUUGGAUGUGCUGCAGCAGCUGGAAUCCAAAUUGAGAUCUCAGGAAUUCACUGGAGAUAAUCAAGUGCAGUUGCUUAUAAUUGAUUCGAUCUCCUCCCUCAUAACCCCAAUCCUGGGAGGCAAUGGUGCAAAUGGUAUACAUCCUUGCACACCAAAUCUUCCUAGGACGUUCUUUGAUGACUUCAGCUGGUUUGCUUCUAAAGAAAUUAGCACACGAGCUCAAUCUCUCUGUAUUGGUGACAAAUCACAUGGUGGGAGGAGAUGGAGGUGCUCUUAAGCCUGCCCUUGGAGAAAGUUGGAAGAGCGUCCCACAUGUUCGGAUAUUGCUUUCCCGUGAUCAUGGUGGCAACUUCUGCGAUGCAUCUUUGCUAAAGCACCCAAGUGUGGCUUCUGGACAGUUUGUGAGAUUUAUGAUUGAGGACUGAGUGACUGAAGGGUUGAGGAAAAGGAAGGGGGAGGAGAUAUUUGGACAAUUGGACUAGAUCGGGACAAGAAAAUAUUUGUUUUGUUUUGUUUGAAGCUUGGGACAAGAGCUGAAAGUCUCACCAUCUUGGACUGUAUCCUGAGCCUCUGGGGUCAGGAAUAUGUUGAUGGUGAGGACCAAGAGGGAAGAAGACAACAGAAACGACCCUAUUAGAAAAAACAUAAAUAAAAUUAGAAAUUAUGAAGCAAAAGAGGAGAGAGGAAAGUGGACAAAAAUUUCACGUGUCCAAAGCAGAGGACAAAAAUGUUUCUUUAUUUUAACAGACCACCUCUUGUCUUUUGUUUUUAAGAUGUUGAUUGAUCUUCAAAUUUGGAGGCUUUAUUAGUCAUUUACGCCCAGGUAUUUGGUCU